CAAAGUGGGCCCAUAGUUCUUCAAUUCCCGCCAUAGUAGGCUUCUUGACCAGGCCUGGACAGUGCUGUCAGAACUCAACCAGUAAACCAAUGGGGUGGACCCUGUGGAUAGGAUCCUGUUCGUGAUGCCAAUUAUGUAAGCGGGGGAAUGGUCCAGCUACUGUGGGGGAACUUUCCUGGCUUAUACACUGUCCCGGGGAAAUGGGCUAGUGAAAGGAUUUGAAUCCUCACUCCAACUACCUUUACCCCCUUAGCUCGGCCUCACUCUGACUGACCCAGGCAAUUCCAGCUCACACAGAGGACAGGACCCCCCUUGCCAGGUUUACAGUCGGAGUGUAAAUGGGAAGUGGAGUGGGAAUGGAAAUAUAAACAGGAAUAUAAAUAUCAUCGUGCACAAUAAACUUCCUUCACUGUAGCCUGAAUCCUCCUCGACUCUCCCCUAAAGAAAAACACCCAGACACGCCGCUCUUGGCAGCUAAUGUCAGGGAGGCUUCACGGCAAAACUUAACUCUGUCCUCAGACUCCCUCCCCCCGCCCCAGCUUCUCCCACCUGCACCCACAGGCGGGCCCCCAGACCUGCUGCAAAGCACGAGCCAGGCUUGCUCAGAUCACGUUCCUAGUGUCAUGGAUCAUUUCAGUGUAGCUGGUCACUGCCGGGAAGGGAAAGGGGCUUCCCUCCCAAAUCCCUUCCAGCGCCAUGAGAAAUCUUCUGUCUUCAGCGGGUGGCCCAGCCCAAUGGAUCCCUGAGACAAGACUUCGCGCCUCCCCCCUACCUGACACUGACCCCCCUGACCGGACGUUGCGUGGCCCUUAUGCUUGUGGAACCUGGCUCCAGAGCUGAGUUCCCCCAAACCCCAAUAUCAGGUUAAAAAAGCCAGACCCUCAGUUCCCAUGAGAGGAAAUACAGUCCCUGCAGGGAGCUGUUCAUUCCUCCCAGGGUCCGAAAGUGUCAGCAGGACCCCAGCGCCCUGUGUCCGGCGCUGCAGAGACACACAAGACGGAACAGUCUGACUCCUGCAGCCGGAGCCCAAGGGCGAGUCAAUCCGAUCACUGGCAGCAGGAGUGUGUGACUCUUAUAAAGCGGGGCAUGCAAAUGAGGGAGACAAUUUCCUCUUUAAAGCUGAGCCUCUCUGUGUCCAGGCUGCACCCGGAGACACAAUCCGCAGCCCCUCGGUCGGUGCAGUCACCAGCCAGUCCCCGGUGAACUUUCCCCUCCAGCACCCGGGAAAAUGGGAUUUUUGCUCCUUGUAAUUGUCGCUGUCGCAGCUUUGGAAGGUGUCCGGUCCCAGACGCUGGUGGAGUCCGGAGGGGGUGUGAAGAAGCCCGGAGACUCUCUGCGCCUCUCCUGCAAAGCCUCCGGCUUCACCUUCAGCAGCUACGGGAUGGGCUGGGUCCGCCAGGCUCCCGGGAAGGGGCUGGAAUGGGUCGCUUCUAUAAGCAGCAGUGGGAGUACAUACUACCUCGAUUCAGUGAAAGGGCGAUUCACCAUCUCCAGGGAUAACUCCAAGAGUGAGCUGUAUCUGCAAAUGACCGGCCUGAAGCCCGACGACACCGCCCGCUAUUACUGCGCGAGAGACACACUGGAGUAGUAGCCCG